UACGAAGGGUGCAAGCGUUAAUCGGAAUUACUGGGCGUAAAGCGUGCGUAGGCGGUUUCUUAAGUCCGUUGUGAAAGCCCUGGGCUCAACCUGGGGAACUGCGAUGGAUACUGAGGAGCUGGAGUACGGUAGAGGAAGGUGGAAUUCCCGGUGUAGCGGUGAAAUGCGUAGAGAUCGGGAGGAACAUCAGUGGCGAAAGGGCGGCCCUUCGUGGACC
rnacentral:rRNA from 1 species